GGGGGUAUAGCUCAGUAGUAGAGCAUUCGACUGCAGAUCGAGUAGUCCCCGUUCAAACCCGGGAGUCUUCU
rnacentral:tRNA from 1 species